rnacentral:rRNA from 1 species
AGGACGAACGCUGGCGGCGUGCCUAACACAUGCAAGUCGAACGGAAGUUAGCGCUGAUUUGAAGGUAGCUUGCUACUGAAUUUCUUGUAACUUUAGUGGCGGACGGGUGAAUAACGCGUGAGUAACCUGCCUUACAGAGGGGGACAACAGUUGGAAACGACUGCUAAUACCGCAUAACAUAGCGAAGAGGCAUCUCUUUGUUAUCAAAGGAGCAAUCCGCUGUAAGAUGGACUCGCGUCCGAUUAGAUAGUUGGUGAGGUAACGGCUCACCAAGUCGACGAUCGGUAGCCGGACUGAGAGGUUGAACGGCCACAUUGGGACUGAGACACGGCCCAGACUCCUACGGGAGGCAGCAGUGGGGAUAUUGCACAAUGGAGGAAACUCUGAUGCAGCAACGCCGCGUGAGGGAAGAAGGUUUUCGGAUUGUAAACCUCUGUUUUUAGUGAAGAAACAAAUGACGGUAGCUAAAGAGGAAGCCACGGCUAACUACGUG